AAAUAGAAAAAGAAAAGUGAACCCCAAAACCCAGAUUGAUUAGGAAUCACUUGAUAUUCCGGAAACAAUUCGCUCUCUUGUCCUCCGCUACCAGUUGCAGGGAAAUGCAUAAACCCUAACCUUCAUCACCAUAACAUCUUUUAGCACAGACUGAAGUCUACCACAAAUGAAUCAGCUCCGGUGAAAGGAUUCAGCGGUAGAUUGAUCCUGGUUCAUCCUUUCUCGAGCUUUCUCAGGUACAUACAAAAUGAUCACAGAGGAUUCAGGAGGUGCAGCAAUGCAGUGUAUUGCGUCAGGGGUUUCAGCUCAUUUUGCUGAAGACUCUUGUUACAGGUUUUGUAAAGAUCCAUGGGAAACCUAUAGGAAUUAUAUUGGAGACAAUGGCAUAUUAUUACUGAAUCGCCUCUGAAAGGUGCCCGCUCAUCAAACUGUGUGCUCAACGCAGCAUUCCUUUGAUCUUUCUACAGAAUAUUACUGGAUUUAUGGUUGGUUCAAGAUCUAAAACCAGCUAAUGGUUUUUGCUAAAGCUGGAGCGAAGAUGGCCAUGGCAGUUUCCUUACAAAGUGUUUCAGGUUCCUAAAAUAACAGUGGUUGUUUGUGGAAGCUUUGGCGCUGGGAACUAUGGAAUGAGUGGCCGUGCUUAUAGUCUGAAUUUCUUGAUCCGUUGGCCACUGCAAGAGUAUCUGCGAUUGGUGGCCCUUAGGUAGUCUGUUUAACCUAUUUCUAAAAAGCCACAAGUCAACCAUUGACUAAUUGCUCGAGUGAGCAAGUUGAAUAAAAUCUGGUAUCUGUAUCUGCAGCAGCAGUUAACUUGAGCAUAUAUUUCUGCUUAGUUAAUUUUUGAAGGCUGCUGGUGUACUGCCAAAAAUUGAGAAGAGCAUCAAGAAAAAGCUCGGACUCCGCAAGUCAGAUAAAUUAAUACUGGAUACUGGUUUCAGUCAACAUAUUUUGGCAGUGGAGCACUGAAGAAGAAGAGAAGUUCAAAAUGGAGUUAAUGGAAGCAUAUGAAACAGAAGGAAGCCCAUAUUACUAUAAGAAAGUUCUAGACCUCUGCCUGUCUGUUUCCAUGAAGAAUGUCCCUGAGUAAACCAAGUAUAGAGUCUUUAGAAUGUAAAAACGACUGUAACCUUAAAAGCUAGAUUCCUGCUGUACUGCCGGUCGCCAAUUUACAAGUACAUAGGCAAUUUGUGUAGCCGGGUAAACAUGUUCAGGGUUCAGGAUUCAGGGUAAAUAUGUUUAUGAUAU